GGACGCGUCAAAUUAAUUUCGGCAAACGACGGACUCCCCGGGAUAACUCCAAUUUGCUUUUAUCGGAUGAAGAUCACUUCGGUGCCAUUGUACCUUGCGGUCACUUGUUUCCAAAAAAAAGAAGGGGGCGCACUGCACUCUGAGGAGAUUUUAAAGAGGUCUAUUUUCCUCUUCUGGGGCUCAUUCCUCCCGUUCCCCUUCCUUCUCUUGCCUUCGCUCGGACGCAUUCAGCCAUUUGAAGGGGCACCUAUAUCCCUUGGCAUCUCGAGACGUAUAGGCAAAUGGAGCAAAACUAUGGAGAGGUAAACCAGCUCGGCGGUGUGUUUGUCAAUGGGCGACCCUUGCCCAAUGCCAUACGCUUAAGAAUAGUGGAGUUGGCCCAGCUCGGGAUCAGACCCUGCGAUAUAAGCCGGCAACUCCGAGUCUCUCAUGGCUGCGUGAGCAAGAUUCUGGCGAGGUACAACGAGACGGGCUCCAUCUUACCCGGUGCCAUCGGAGGAAGCAAACCGAGGGUCACGACGCCGAACGUGGUGAAAAAUAUCAGGGAUUACAAACAAGGCGACCCCGGGAUCUUUGCCUGGGAGAUCCGGGACAGGCUUUUGGCAGAUGGAGUUUGUGACAAGUACAAUGUCCCGUCGGUUAGCUCGAUCAGCAGGAUUUUACGCAACAAGAUUGGAAAUCUCUCCCAGCCCAACCAGUAUGAGAGCAAUAAACAAGCCUCCGCACAGGCCGGGCUCUCCUAUAACCACAUUUACCCGUAUUCCUACCCCAACGCCAUGUCGCCUACUGGCGCUAAAAUGGGCAGCCAUUCUGGAGUACCGAUGACGGCUGGACAUAUGAGCAUAUCCCGGGCAUGGCCUUCCGCACACACCGUCAGCAACAUUCUCGGUAUACGAGCAUUUAUGGAUCCCUCAGCCAUUGCUGGGACAGAGGGAUAUGCACCGAAAAUGGAGGACUGGAGCAGCGUCAACAGAGCAGCUUUCCCAGCGACUCACACUGUCAACGGGAUUGACAAAACAGCCAUUGACGCUGACAUAAAAUACGCUCAGCCCUCAUCCACACUGUCCGGUUAUGUCUCCGCGUGUGCGUACUCUCCUUCCAACCAGUACGGCGUGUACAGCGGGCCAGCAGGCGGAUACGUGGCCCCGGGACACCACCACUGGCAGCCGCAGAGCCCGGCCCUGUCGCAUCCAGGCGGUGGAAUGGGCAUGCAUGCGGGGGAGAUCCACUCACCGAUGACAUUCAAGCACCAGGCCCGAGAAGGAGACAGAAAACCGCCCACUACCCUGAGCAAGCAGCAGCAGCAGCAGCAGCAGCAACAUGAAGACUUGAACAGUGUGCAUGGACUCAGUCUCCCUACCUCAUCAUCAUAACCUGGACUUAUAUCACCUUAAUAACCAGACCGAAAUAAAGUGAACUCAUUUCAACAACUCCAACAGAGAUUCCAGCGCUGUUUUCGGACCUCGGAGGAUACAGCAAUAAAGAGAACGACCACAGGAUUGGAUGAAUUGCAGUGCCCAGUUUGAUUAUUGUAUACGAAUGACCUAAAGAGCAUGAAAUUAUGUUUGGAAAUAAAAUUAUCUCCUUGAAGACACUGGCUUGAAAGCAGACAUAUUUUUAUAAGAAUGCUUGUAAUUUGUGUUUAUGCAAUUAUCAACAUGUAGUGUUGGUUCUUUACUGGAAAGUCCAAACUUUCUUUAUGAAAAUUUGUCAGCAGUUUCGUAGUGGAAGUCUAUUUUCGUGAGACAGACAGAGAGACGUCCUCCAUACAGGAAGAUCCUCUCUAAUUUGUGGAGACUAUAGAAUUAAUGUUCUGCCCAACUGCCCAUCUGUGACUUAUUUAAAGAGCGCUGAAACAUAUACUGUGCUAAAUGUUGCCACACACAUGCCAAAGGCUACCAGUAGAAAGAAACUAUGUGGAGUUGGAUUUAAGGGUUGCCUUCAAGUUAAUUUUUGGCUCAAAUUCUUAUUAGGUGAUAAUAGGAUGAUGACUCUUCUCUCAAAAAUGUGAGUGGUUAACCACCGGACUGUCUAUUGAUUUGGAAGGAAAAAUCCUGCAAGCAACUCUGCUGGGUCUCUGAAAUGAAUUAAUAGACAUUUAUGUGUUUAGAUGCACUGGAACAUACAUUUUGGGCUUAUUUAAAAAAUAUAUAUAUACUUGGAUUUAUGCUUAAUGUCAACAAUUACCAAGAAAAAAUAAAAAGCAACGAUGCGUUAUUCCAUCUCGCAAUACUGUCAGGUUAAAGCCCACUUAUUUCCACAAAAUCAUCAACAGUCAAACAGGAGUAAAUAGUGAAUUUAAUAGGGACUAUUUUCAGUUGUUGAGUAAUAUAUAUUUGGUUCUGUAGUUCAUGUAAACAUACAGAGUGUGUGUUCCCAUAAUGGAUAUGGAUAUAUUUUUGUAUACAUGCAAACAAGUGUGUGAAACUCCAACCACAUCCUCUUUCUGUUCUUUACUAGAAUGUCAACGACCAAAUAUAGUUCCUAUAAUUUGUUUCAUUGUCAUAACGCUGCCUCUCCCUUAAGGCGGACAGUUCAGCACAGGGUUCAGCCCUUCAUAUUAGAGGUCAGGAAGCCAUUGCUUGUUUGAAUAUGAAAUAUUCACCUGUGUAAAACAGGGAAUACAAACUCAGUUUGCUGUUGAACAGUUUCUUUGUAUAUACAGCUUUGGGUUAUUUGAGAAAGACUUAGCUAUAUUAGAGACCUAGAUUGCCUGAAGUCAAAGUAGGAAAGUAACUGCUUGAUUAUAAUUCAUUGAAUAAAAGAUACCAUGAAAACCAGUCACACAUCUCACUGUGAUUAUACUGUAAGCCCAACGCAGACCGUUUUACAUACUAACACAAGAAACAAUAACCAGUUUUUUUUGCUAGAAUAAAAUGGCUUGAAUAAUAAAGUUGUUUGUGUUUGAUCAUUUUUGGAAAUAAAUGUAUAAACAAAACAUUUAUAGUAUAGACUUGUUUAUGCAAGAAUGUAAUAACCAUGCAAUAUAUAAACCCUCAUUCAUCCUU